GACGAACGCUGGCGGCGUGCUUAACGCAUGCAAGUCGAACGGAAAGGCCCUGCUUUUGUGGGGUGCUCGAGUGGCGAACGGGUGAGUAACACGUGAGUAACCUGCCCUUGACUUUGGGAUAACUUCAGGAAACUGGGGCUAAUACCGGAUAGGAGCUCCUGCUGCAUGGUGGGGGUUGGAAAGUUUCGGCGGUUGGGGAUGGACUCGCGGCUUAUCAGCUUGUUGGUGGGGUAGUGGCUUACCAAGGCUUUGACGGGUAGCCGGCCUGAGAGGGUGACAGGCCAAAUUGGGACUGAGAUGCGGCACAGACUCCUACGGGAGGCAGCAGUGGGGAAUAUUGCACGAUGGGCGGAAGCCUGAUGCAGCAAAGCCGCGUGCGGGAUGACGGCCUUCGGGUUGUAAACCGCUUUCGCCUGUGACGAAGCGUGAGUGACGGUAAUGGGUAAAGAAGCACCGGCUAACUACGUG
rnacentral:rRNA from 1 species